rnacentral:rRNA from 1 species
UACGAAGGUCCCAAGCGUUAUCCGGAUUUAUUGGGUUUAAAGGGUGCGUAGGCGGGCUAUUAAGUCAGUGGUGAAAGCCCCAGCUUAACUUGGGAACUGCCAUUGAUACUGAUGGUCUUGAGUACAUUUGAGGUGGGCGGAAUGUGUCAUGUAGCGGUGAAAUGCUUAGAUAUGACACAGAACACCGAUUGCGAAGGCAGCUCA